CUUGGAUUGAGAGUUUGAUCCUGGCUCAGGACGAACGCUGGCGGCGUGCCUAAUACAU
rnacentral:rRNA from 1 species